rnacentral:rRNA from 1 species
UGGGGAAUAUUGCACAAUGGAGGGAACUCUGAUGCAGCAACGCCGCGUGCGGGAUGACGGCCUUCGGGUUGUAAACCGCUUUCAGCCAUGACGAAGCUUUUGUGACGGUAGUGGUAGAAGAAGCACCGGCUAACUACGUGCCAGCAGCCGCGGUGAUACGUAGGGUGCGAGCGUUGUCCGGAAUUAUUGGGCGUAAAGAGCUUGUAGGCGGUUUGUCGCGUCGAUAGUGUAAACACGCAGCUUAACUGUGUGCCUGCUGUCGAUACGGGAUGACUAGAGGAGGGUAGGGGAGAAUGGAAUUCCCGGUGGAGCGGUGGAAUGCGCAGAUAUCGGGAGGAACACCAGUGGCGAAGGCGGUUCUCUGGACCUUUCCUGACGCUGAGAAGCGAAAGCGUGGGUAGCAAACAGG